AUUGAACGCUGGCGGCAUGCUUUACACAUGCAAGUCGAACGGCAGCGCGGGCUUCGGCCUGGCGGCGAGUUGCGAACGGGUGAGUAAUACAUCGGAACGUGCCCAGUAUUGGGGGAUAGCUCGGCGAAAGCCGGAUUAAUACCGCAUACGACCUGAGGGUGAAAGCGGGGGAUCUUCGGACCUCGCGCUAUUUGAGCGGCCGAUGGCAGAUUAGCUAGUUGGUGUGGUAAAGGCCUACCAAGGCGACGAUCUGUAGCUGGUCUGAGAGGACGACCAGCCACACUGGAACUGAGACACGGCCCAGACUCCUACGGGAGGCAGCAGUGGGGAAUUUUGGACAAUGGGCGAAAGCCUGAUCCAGCAAUGCCGCGUGUGUGAUGAAGGCCUUCGGGUUGUAAAGCACUUUUGGCGGGAACGAAAAGGACUGUGCCAAUACCACGGUUCGAUGACGGUACCCGAAGAAUAAGCACCGGCUAACUACGUG
rnacentral:rRNA from 1 species